GCCGCGUUGGCGUAGUGGUAGCGCGUCGCACUUGUACCUUGUUGUCAAUGCGAAGGUCACUCGUUCAAUCCGGGUACGUGGCA